GUCCCCAAACCGUCCUCAUGGACCCCCUGUCCUGCAGGUUUUUGUUCCAGCUCUUCUCUUUCACACCUGCUCCAUUUAAGGGCCUCAUGCUGAUUGGUUGAAACAGAUCUACCUGAACAUGAGGGUGCAUGGGCCUUAUCUUGGGUCAAGUGUGCAAAAGUACUGCUGGAACAAAAACCUGCAGGAGAGGGGGUUCUUGAGGACCAGUGUGGGAACCACUACUUUAAAGAACCUCUUGCUAAAAGCUUCUUUGUGGAACCAAAAUAGGUUCUUCAGACUGAUGCCAUAGGAGAACCAUUUUUUGUUCCAGUUAGCUCCUUUAUUUUUCUGCGCAUGGAUGCAUAUGAGAAGCUUUUUGUUGGUGAUUGAUUGAGUUGUACAUGGAGAAAUAACAGAGCACUUGGCUUCCAGGCCAAGAGUCAGAUGUUCCACUCAAACCAUGAACAAUGACAAACAUAUGAGACUCGGUGCCUCAAGUGUUGGAAAGGCCGCUGUGACUGUCGGCAUGCCAGCUCCGGUCUCUCUUCACCCCGGUGGGAUCGCAGCAGAAUGUGCUAGGAUUUUUUGUAAGCUGUUGCAUAUGUUUGGCCAACUCUCCUGUUCAGGGAAGUGACGGGCCUUUGUGGAAAUCCAAGGUUCCCAAACCGGAGUGCUGGAGGGGGAUUCCAUGUGGUGCCCAGAAAAACUGAGAAAUACUUACACAUGACUGUCAGAUGUGGGUCCAGGGAACAAAACCUUUACCAAAGGAGCGCCUCUGUGGUUGGAAGUGCAUCUAUCUCGGAAGUUGCUGACAUGAGAAGAUAGUUUUCUCCAAUAUCAACAGCAAAACAAAUGGGAUUUCUUUUAUAAAAUUCAAAAUAUGUAUGAAUAUGAAUGUUUGAAUAUGAAAACAAUCCUUGUAAUGCACCAUCUUUGUCCUGAAUUUACUUGUACUUAAAAGGCUCCACUUUUUGUUCAUGAUUCCAAAUUUGGGAAACAAGUGAUCACUUCUGCAGUUUUACUUCUCUAUUCUUUUUUCCUGAGAAGCUCUGUGAGGUUGUUUUUUUUUCCUUCUUUAAAGUGAAUACUGGAAAUAAACGUUUCAGUUUUCUUUCUUA